rnacentral:rRNA from 1 species
GACGAACGCUGGCGGCGUGCUUAACACAUGCAAGUCGAACGGAAAGGCCUGCUUGCAGGGUACUCGAGUGGCGAACGGGUGAGUAACACGUGGGUGAUCUGCCCUGCACUUCGGGAUAAGCCUGGGAAACUGGGUCUAAUACCGGAUAGGAGCCAUUUUUAGUGUGAUGGUUGGAAAGUUUUUUCGGUGUAGGAUGAGCUCGCGGCCUAUCAGCUUGUUGGUGGGGUAAUGGCCUACCAAGGCGGCGACGGGUAGCCGGCCUGAGAGGGUGGACGGCCACAUUGGGACUGAGAUACGGCCCAGACUCCUACGGGAGGCAGCAGUGGGGAAUAUUGCACAAUGGGCGCAAGCCUGAUGCAGCGACGCCGCGUGGGGGAUGACGGCCUUCGGGUUGUAAACUCCUUUCGCUAGGGACGAAGCUUUUUGUGACGGUACCUAGAUAAGAAGCACCGGCUAACUACGUG